UUUUGCAGUUCUUCAAUCAGAUUGACACAAAUGCUGACCAAACGAUUUCUCCUGGAGAUUUCGAUGGCUUGACAGAAGAGGAUCUGGACUAUCUCACUGGAAUCGUUAUCAACAGACAAGCAGAUUUCAAAGAUAUUAUUGAAGACCAACAAAGCACAAGUAAACCGUCUUCUAUAGGAGAUAUUGCCAAAUCAUUAUCCCAAAAUUACGAGAAAGAACUUCAUAAGAUUUUGGAAGAAGGAUUCGACGACAUUUUGAAAGAUGCAAAUGUUGAAGGGUCGUUAAAAUUUGAUAGUAAAGGAAGACCCAAAGUAAUAAUCAAUAAAGAAAAACUUGGUG